GGCAAGAUGGCCGAGCGGUCUAAGGCGCCGCACUCAAGUUACUCUUGCCCGCUCCUGGGCUUACUUGCGGUCUCGAGAGAGGCGUGGGUUCAAAUCCCACUCUUGUCA